rnacentral:rRNA from 1 species
GACGAACGCUGGCGGCGUGCUUAACACAUGCAAGUCGAACGGAAAGGCCCUGCUUUUGUGGGGUGCUCGAGUGGCGAACGGGUGAGUAACACGUGAGUAACCUGCCCUUGACUUUGGGAUAACUUCAGGAAACUGGGGCUAAUACCGGAUAGGAGCUCCUGCUGCAUGGUGGGGGUUGGAAAGUUUCGGCGGUUGGGGAUGGACUCGCGGCUUAUCAGCUUGUUGGUGGGGUAGUGGCUUACCAAGGCUUUGACGGGUAGCCGGCCUGAGAGGGUGACCGGCCACAUUGGGACUGAGAUACGGCCCAGACUCCUACGGGGGGCAGCAGUGGGGAAUAUUGCACAAUGGGCGGAAGCCUGAUGCAGCAACGCCGCGUGCGGGAUGACGGCCUUCGGGUUGUAAACCGCUUUCGCCUGUGACGAAGCGUGAGUGACGGUAAUGGGUAAAGAAGCACUGGCUAACUACGUG